rnacentral:rRNA from 1 species
UGAACGCUGGCGGCGUGCCUAAUACAUGCAAGUCGAGCGAACGGACGAGAAGCUUGCUUCUCUGAUGUUAGCGGCGGACGGGUGAGUAACACGUGGAUAACCUACCUAUAAGACUGGGAUAACUUCGGGAAACCGGAUCUAAUACCGGAUGAUAUUUUGAACCGCAUGGUUCAAAAGUGAAAGACGGUCUUGCUGUCACUUAUAGAUGGAUCCGCGCUGCAUUAGCUAGUUGGUAAGGUAACGGCUUACCAAGGCAACGAUGCAUAGCCGACCUGAGAGGGUGAUCGGCCACACUGGAACUGAGACACGGUCCAGACUCCUACGGGAGGCAGCAGUAGGGAAUCUUCCGCAAUGGGCGAAAGCCUGACGGAGCAACGCCGCGUGAGUGAUGAAGGUCUUCGGAUCGUAAAACUCUGUUAUUAGGGAAGAACAUAUGUGUAAGUAACUGUGCACAUCUUGACGGUACCUAAUCAGAAAGCCACGGCUAACUACGUA